CAAGCUUUGAGCUUUGAGCUCAGAAGACGUGGGCUAGAAUUCCACUCUAGCACUUGUUAGCUUUGUGGCCCUGGAUAAGUGGUUUGCAAUUUUCUUUUCCCUUUCCUCUUCCAAAUGACCUUCUUUCAAAUAUUUGAGCCCUAUCCUUCCAGUCUUCUCCUAGCCUCCCUGUGUGAUAAGACCUUCAUUUCCUUUAUCACUUUGGUCACAUGCCCAGCUCUGCCCAUGCACAUGCAAUACUCAAAGAUGCACAGGAUUCCCCAGGUGUGGUUCUGGGUCAGGGAGUCAUCAGGGCUGGCAAGGGCUGGGAGAAUGGACCAGAAAGCCAUAGAGUGAGAUACAGGGGGAAGAAGAACACAGACUGGCACACCAGAUCCCCGGCCCUCACCUUCACGGUCCUUUGGCCAAGCUGCCCCCUGGUUCCAAUAGUUCUGGGACUAAACCCUGGCUUUUGCCCUUGCGCCAGGAGUAGUGGUGAAUGUAAUCAUUCUGGCCACAUCAUUGAGGGAACUAGAUGGGAUCAGGGCCAGCUUUGCCUCCUGUUCACUUUGUCCAGAGCUGACAUCAGAGCCUGCUGGAGAGUAGGUGAGCAGCAAUAUGUGUCCCUUUUUACCCAUGUCCAGAUGCAGCAUCCAUCCUUAUGACCUCAUUCCCUCCCCAGCUGAGAUUCAUUCUCAGUCACACACAGUCUUUUCAGUCUAGAAGCAAAGACUCUUCUACUCAUUGUGUAGGUCAGAAAGAGAAAUGCAAAGGUUUUGAGAUCUGAUUUCUGACCUGAAGAUCCUUAUUACUAGCUAUGUGUCUUCAGAAAGUUUAACCUCUCUUAGUUUCAGUUCCUUCAUCUGUAAAAAUUGAGACAUAAGUAGCCCAUACCUCAUAGAUUGCAGGAAGAAUUAAAUGAUGUGGUGUAUACAAACUCUUAGUCUAAGUGAUUGAUGUGUGUUGGCUUCUUGGGGGAAGGAGAGGUGACAGUGAAUGAUUUCUUACCCCACUACCUGUGAGAGCAGAGCAAGACAGGCUGGGCUUGCCCAUCACCCUGCCCUUCAACCCCCUGUGGGGGACCUAGGGUUCAAAUGAACGUCACUAUCCACACUUCUGUAAAGUUGGCCAGUGUUACUCUGGGGCAAACCUAAAUAGAAUGUCAAACGGAAUUUGAAUUUUACAGAGGAAAUGUGAAAGUCUUAGAGAACAUUUCGCUAGUUUUUAAAACUUUUUAUAGGUCACAGUUCAGUUGCCUUGCAGUUUCAUGAACUUUGCCAGUGUUUUCAAUUUAGCAUAAAAAGUGUGGUCAGAUUUGUAUAAACCUCACCUGGGAACUUGUUUGAAGCACAAGUUCUCAGACCCCUCCCCAGACUCACUGAAACUCUGGGGGUGCAGCUCAGCAGUCUGUGUUCAGUGAGCACUCCAGGUGCUUCUCAGGGCUCCCGUUUGAGAACACUGGUCUAGGUGUUAGAAGGGUGGUCCCCUCCCUUCUCCCCUUCCUCCCACCCCUGGCAGUUUUGAGGUCCAGAUGACCAAGCCCGGCUCUCUAGCCGUGUAUUUUCAGCACUUCCGUAGUGUGAAGACAGCUCCUGAGAGAAUGACUCAUCGUCUCAUCCUGGGAGAUUCAUGUAUUUGUGUCACAGCAGGUGUAAUCUAAAUCCAAGCCUAGGCCUGGAAAAGAGUUAGGAAACAAACAUCUGUUUUGGGUGUUCAGACUGACAGAUCAGUUGUCUCCCUCCACCUCGGAGGCUUCCUUCCUGAUCUCCUGACCACAGUAAUAGUUCUCUGAUGGCUAAUGAAAAUAGCAAAUUUUAUCAAGUUCUACCUUUUGGAAAAUACCAUUCAUUAUUUUCCCUUUAAUCCUCACAACAGCCCAACAAGGUAGAUGCUAUUAAGAUCCUUAUGUCCUUCACAGUGAAACAGCCUCAGAGAGGCUAAGUCAUUUGCCCAAGAUCGUGUAGCUAAUAAAUGGGAGACGAGAGACUUGAGUUCAAGUCAGACACCAGAUUCUGUAAAUCUUCAGCCAGACUUCCCACUUGGUUAAGCAAGCUAGAUCCUUGAGCCAGGAAUAUUCUAGGCCUGUGGUUCUUAAAAUUUGUCAUGGAUCAAGAUUUCUGGAGGACAUCUUAAAGCACAGAUUGCUGGACCCUUGUCCCCAAGUGUUAGAUUCAGUGCUGCUAGGUUGAGGCCUGGGAAUUUGCAUUUCUAGCAAGCUCCCAGAUAUUGCUGGUGCUGCUGGUCCGGAGACCACACUUAAAGAAUCACUUCUGUAGGCCAGUAUUUCUCAACCAGGGCUGUACAUUAGAAUCAUCUGAGGAACUUCAGAUUCAAUUGUUCUAGUGUGAGACACUGCCAUUCUAUUUUUUUAUGUUCCCUGGAUAAUUCUAAUGCACAGCCAGGGUUGAGAACCACUGCUAUACUCAAAGGAAGACUACUAAUUCCUUUUUAUAGCUUUGGUUCUUGAGUCCUGUGUCCAUUUUUUUCUAACGGCAGCAUGCAUACUUCUGGGAAACUCAGUGUGUGCAACGGGUACCAACACUGCAAGACAAAUAGUGCUCAUUCAUUUCAUUUCAAUAUUUUCUAUGAAACAAACAUCUAUUGUGGAGUAUAAUGCAAAGUGUUCAUGAACUCUUAAUGUAAAAUGUAAUGUAAAUGGGAUUUAGUCCACUCCUAAGAAUUUAGCCAAGGAAAAUUGUCAGGACCAACUGUCAAAGAUAUGUACAAGAAGAGGCAUCUAAGUAUUACUUUGUCUUGAUAAUUGCUGAGUCUGUGUGAUGGUUAUAUGGUGAUUCAUUGUUCAAAGAAUAUCUAAUACUUAUGUCAAGUACAAAAAGGAGGAUACAAACUGAAUAUUUAGUAUGACUCUAAUUGUACUUUUAACAAAACUAUAUACAUACACACACAGAAAAAAGACUGGAAGAUAACACAACAAAAUAUUACCAGUGAUUAUUUCUUGAUGGGAUUAUGGGUGAUAAUGAUAACAUUUUCUAAUUUUUAAACAAUAUUACUUUUAUGAUUAGACCAAAAGAAUUUGUGUAGGCAGUCACCUAUUCUUGUAAAUACAUUCUACAAUGUCUGCCUGAAAUACAAAGCAUGCAUUUGUAGAUUAGAAGUUUUUUCAGAGAAUUAGAAAGCAUCUUACAAUUGUUAAUUAAGGUCCCAAUGGGUGCUAAUGCCUUUGGGACCUGGAAAUGUGAGAAUCAUCAUAGGAACCUAGGGAGAUUGUGCUGGGCAAAAGGGCUUUUGCUCUGCAAGGUGGUUCUUCUAAUGGGGUUAGGCAGCAGGGGUUGCUAGAGGCUCCUCAGGAUGCAUGGGGUGAGUGUGGGGCUUUUGUCCUCUCCUCUAGCGAGUACACACUCCUCCACAGUGCUUCUGUGUGACAUCACCAAAGCAUCCACUAUAAUUAAUGUAUCAUAGAUCAAAUGCACCCUAGUAAAGGGAAUUUAGCAAUGUCCAUGUAGUGUGCAAAUAUGCAGGAGGUAAGAAAGUUAAGCAUAUGUAACUCAAGGACCACCUAUGAAUGUUAAUAAAGAAAGAACAUAUGGAGAAAACUCUUGUAUUGCAAAACAUGAAGCCCAUGUGCCUUCAUCAUCCCCAGAAGUCUGUCUGUUCAUGCUCCCUGGGAUUCCGUUCAGAAAACAAGUAAAUGGUGCCUUCUGCACAUUUAUGUUAAACGGAGAACCAAAAAGAGUGACUACCCCACUCCAGUGCUUGCUGGGGCUGGGAGAACAAAGAAGCUGCAAGUAUGAGGUACUCAAAGACAGUGUUACUAGGGUAAUGAUUUUCCAGUAUGGCCAAAAGACAUCUUCUAUGCAACCAAGCCUCACCUGGCCUUACAAAACAAAAGUGGUUUGGCCAGAGCUUGAAUAACAGCUGGGAUGGAUGGCCCAAUGUAAAGGAGCAGGUGGCAGGCCAGUGGACCCCACUCUGGGGUGGCCCCAUGGUGGACAGAGCCCCUGCUCCCUAAAAUGGCCAACACCUGUCCCAAGGAAGGCCACCUAGCCAGAAGUGCCCACCAUCUGCUGUAAUCAAAUUUGCAAUCACAGGUAACUUUUCCUCUCAAGGGUCCAGCUGGCAAUAUAAAUAAAUGGAAUGAAUGGGGCUCCUCAGAUGAGUACAGCAUCUUCCAUGUAUGGGGAGCAGACAUUACUGAGCUGCUGCCAUGUGGGAAUCUCAGUCCAGUUGUGCCAGGUCUUCUGAGUUAUUCCAAGAGAAGCAAGAAUUCGUCUUUGUGUUAUAGUUUCCAGUUUCUAAAUAUUGGUAGCAUUUUAAAAAUAUGUAGUCCAAAGAAGACAGUCCUGUGGGCUGACUUUGGCCUGCAGGCACCAGUUUCUCAUCUCUGCUUGUGAAUGUCAAGUUCUAGAGAGACCAUUGCUUUAGUCACCUCUGUCCUCUCCCUCCUCUUCCCACUCCUGCCUCACCAAGACCAAAUUCCAAAAGACCAGUUCUCCUCAAAAGUUGUGUUUCAUAAGGACCUUAAAAUUGGCUACUAGUCUAACAGUAAUUUAUUUCAGUUGAGGACUUUUUAAACUCCAUGACUAACCAUUGAGGGUACUUUCUGGAUGAUUAAGUUAAUAAUUUUAAAGGAAUUGCCUUGGUUUUUGAGGGGUAGAGGGUAUAUUAUUUGGGAAGUGGCUGUUUCAAAGUGAGUGGGAUCUAGGUUUAAAUCCAGCUUCACCACCUGUAUCACUUAAGCAAGUGAUGCAGCCUCUCUUAGUUUCUCAUUAUUUAAA
rnacentral:lncRNA from 1 species